AACGAACGCUGGCGGCAGGCCUAACACAUGCAAGUCGAGCGCGACCCAACUUCGGUUGGUAAGUUGAGCGGCGGACGGGUGAGUAACGCGUGGGAAUAUGCCCUUCACUACGGAAUAGCCUCGGGAAACUGAGAGUAAUACCGUAUACGCCCUUCGGGGGAAAGAUUUAUCGGUGAAGGAUUAGCCCGCGUUGGAUUAGGUAGUUGGUGGGGUAAAAGCCCACCAAGCCGACGAUCCAUAGCUGGUUUGAGAGGAUGAUCAGCCACACUGGGACUGAGACACGGCCCAGACUCCUACGGGAGGCAGCAGUAGGGAAUCUUAGACAAUGGGGGAAACCCUGAUCUAGCCAUGCCGCGUGAGUGACGAAGGCCCUAGGGUCGUAAAGCUCUUUCGCCAGGGAUGAUAAUGACAGUACCUGGUAAAGAAACCCCGGCUAACUCCGUG
rnacentral:rRNA from 1 species